CGGCUUCUCAUUGGCUGACGCUGCUGGGCGCGACUAUCCCGCGUCGUGCGGGGGUGGACUCUUGGCAGCCCGACGCUUUAGCCCCGUCCGCGUUCCCCCCGGUCUCGGAGCAGUGAGCCGGCCCGGCGCGCUCCUGCCCGCCCUCCCAGCCUCUCUUCCCGCUCUCUCUGCGCCUUUCCUUCUCCGCGCCUUCUGUCUCCUCCUCUCCUAAAGCUGUUUCUCCGCGGUUUAGUUGCUCUUUUUCUUUCUCGUCCACUUUUAUCUCCACUUUACCCUUGAUUUUUUUUUCCUCCUCUUGAUUCAUUUUGCUUUUUCCUUGGCCUGUCAAUCACUUGGGAGCACAGAUUAAAUUCUCAGACGUUUAACCCUAUCCAGUGUCUUGAUCUUCCGAGAAAGAAAACUUACACUCUUCAAUAGUCAACUAAUUGUUCCUGCCCUAACUAUGCAGGAAAAAAAUAAUUAAUAGGCAGGGUUUGUUUGUUUUUUAAAUUAUGGGGUCCUAAUUUAAGUAACGAACUAUAGCUGCAUUCGAGGGCUAACAUAGUCUACUCAGGACAUGUGGUUUCAGGUAAACCGGAAAAGGAAUGGGCUGAUUAAUGAUACUUACAUCAGGAAAAAGUACUUGGCUGGUAUUCAGGACACAGGGAUUAAUCAAGCUCCACCUUGUCGAGUCAGCGUCAUGGUGUACGGGCAAGAGUAACGCCCAACAGGCUUCAAAUACACUGGCGAUAUAGACUGACAGGAAUUGUGUGAAGGAAAAUAGCUACCCCGACCUCCGUGGCAGAUCAGCCCAGAACUGAGCGUGAAAUGGCUUCCAGGAACUAACAAGAAAAAAAAAAAUGCCUCUCAAGGAAGCCCAUCUUUCGUUCCAGGAUGUGGGACUUGCAUGGCUGUUGCCUAAGGCAGAAGAGAACUAGGCGAGCAAAGCAGCGAGGGACAAAAGCCUUUCCAAGAACCAGAUGUUCUGUUCAAGGCAGUUUGUGUUUGCCUGGCCCCAGCAUUGCCUUGAGAUCAUCAUUGCCUGCUAUUUGCCAGGAUAGCAGUGUCAGUCUAAGCUUCUAGUGCCAUGAGACGCUGGAAAAGUUAAGGCAAUGGAGACACCCAUCAUACACGAGGAAAUGACAGGCGCAGACGAGCUACCUGAAGAUACUCUUAAGCCCUGACCUACUCAGGCUGUUCAGUGCCUAUUUCACACAAAGGGUACAACUAGGCGGAGGGGCCAGGGGUGUAGACAUCCUGCUGGCCUGUUCCCUUUCCAGUGCUGUGCCCUGGGAACCUGUGCUCCAGCCUAGAGAAGAGGGUUUCUUUGUGUAAUUCAUCUUCCCAAGGGCAGCUGCACUUUUUGACAGUGACUGUAUGCCUCCAGAGGAGCCUAGUUGUGUAACAAAAACCUUAGCCUCAUUAAGCAACAACUCCAUUAUAAUCCUGGAAUCAGAUGCUUAGGUAGACAGUUCUACUCGUCCCACUUGUGUCCUUUCAUGCCAGUGCCUCACAGAGGUGGAAGAAUGUUGGAUAUCUGGCACCUCUGUGUCCCUUAAUAACGCUCUUCCAUCGAUGGUGAGAGUGCUUCCUUAUGGCUUUGUGGACCGUCUCCUCCAUCUGGAGGUCAUUCUGACCCACAAUCAGGGCAGCUCAGGAAUCUAAAGAGGAGGGAGCAGAAGCCCUCAAGUCUUCGAAAGCAUCCCUCUUUGUCUGUAUUCCAUCCACCAAGCAAGCACAAGCCCGGUGUGGAUUUGAGAGAGGAGGCAAGCCAGGGAGCAGUUGUACGCGCACGGCCUGAUGGACUUACUCAGCGCCAUUGAGAUAGACUCGCCCUGCAAAGACUGGGGUCCCCAGGAAUGCAUGGUAUUGUUCAAACUGAUUACAGUGACAAAAACGUAAUGAAGGCUGCCUGAUCAAGCCAAUCCUGACAGACUCAACUGCCAAGGAACCAGAAUGCUUUAUUAUAGAAGCAGGUAGAAUUGAGAGAAGAUGCCUGGAAACCUUAUAAACCAGAAAACAGGACUUCUGCUCUGAGCUCAACAUGCUCCCUUGCAGACUCACCUUAGAGGAUCAACCAGAACGGGACGAGACAGCAGGUUUGUUUCUGCUUUGACCUAUGCAUCAUGGUUUCAAAGAAUUAAGCUAAUUUUCCAUUGCUAUACAAAAAUCACUAGGGACUUGAAGGGCACCUCAGGUGUUUAGCACUUGUACAUUAUACACAAGGCUCUGGCUUGGAUCCUCACUAGAAAUAAA
rnacentral:lncRNA from 1 species